rnacentral:rRNA from 1 species
GACAGAGGCCUCAAGCGUUAGGCGGAAUCACUGGGCUUAAAGCGUGUGUAGGCGGAUCGUUAAGUGCCUUGUGAAAUCCCACGGCUUAACUGUGGAACGGCUGGGCAUACUGGCGGUCUUGAGCCAUCUAGGGGCGACUGGAACAAACGGUGGAGCGGUGAAAUGCGUAGAUAUCGGAAGGAACACCGGUGGCGAAAGCGGCGCGCUGGACCUUUACUGACGCUGAGGCGCGAAAGCCAGGGGAGCAAACGGG